GACGAACGCUGGCGGCGUGCUUAACACAUGCAAGUCGUACGGUAAGGCCCUUUCGGGGGUACCCGAGUGGCGAACGGGUGAGUAACACGUGAGUAACCUGCCCACAACUUUGGGAUAACGCUAGGAAACUGGUGCUAAUACUGGAUAUGUGCUCCUGCUGCAUGGUGGGGGUUGGAAAGCUCCGGCGGUUGUGGAUGGACUCGCGGCCUAUCAGCUUGUUGGUGGGGUAGUGGCCUACCAAGGCGGCGACGGGUAGCCGGCCUGAGAGGGUGACCGGCCACAUUGGGACUGAGAUACGGCCCAGACACCUACGGGAGGCAGCAGUGGGGAAUAGUGCACAAUGGGCGCAAGCCUGAUGCAGCAACGCCGCGUGCGGGAUGACGGCCUUCGGGUUGAAAACCGCUUUCAGCAGGGACGAAGCUUUUUGUGACGGUACCUGCAGAAGAAGCACCGGCUAACUACGUG
rnacentral:rRNA from 1 species